AAGGUUUUAAGUUACUAAAACUAUAAGCCUUCAAAGCUUAAAACAAAAAGAUAUUUUUAAACCUUG
rnacentral:tRNA from 1 species